AUUGCUUGUUUUUUUUGGUUCCCUAUCGAAGGACGGAGCUUGGGCCAACAUUUAUAACGGUUUAAUGACACAAAGAGGAAAAGAACUGAACCAAAGCCAAGCAAAGCACCAUCACCUUCUGGAAAGUGCAGAAACUGCAAUCAAGAUCAACAAAGAAAAGCACCCUUCUCAUAGAUUCAUCUCUUUGGCGUUUAAGUGUUGGGGCGAGUCUACAAAACUCAGAUUCCUCAUUUAACUAGAUGUUCCAGGUCACGGCGAUAUUCUACUGAGGCAAUUUUCAAAAGACCAUAAAACCACCACAUCAAUUUAUGCUUGCAGGAUAUACACGUGAUAAAAGCACACAUUAAGCCAUUGCCAGUUCAAACAACACUUCACAGGAAUUUGAAAGAAAGCCUAGACAAGAAGCAGAAUUGGAAGAGAAUAAUAAAAGCUAAAGUUUAUUGGGCACUUUCUCAUGCUCUAAGCCAUCAAAUAUCAGGGUAGUCAAAUGGACAAUGGAAAAAAACGCUGAGAGACUUGAGGUCCCUGAAGCCUCCACACCUUCCCAGAACAGAUUCUCAGACAUCCAAUCAGCAUUCCAAAGCUGUCCUCCACCCACUGCAAGGCCUGGGCACAGAGAUGAGGCAAGAUGGUGUUGGCCACAUGCACUCUGGGGCAUCUAGGUGGGGCAUGGAGGCAGCCAACUCUAUUCCCCAGGAUGGCAUGUUCAGUGGGCACCCUGAUCCAGGAGCUGAGUGCGUCUCAAAUGUGAAGGUUGCAAUCCUUCAGGGGUCUCAUCUGCUGCAGAUUCUGGUAGCAGGCCCAUGGGAAGGGGAUAUUGACUUUCCCUCCCUUGCCAGGGACACAGUGUAUCAAUCCAGCACUAAUGCCACUAACAGUAUGGACCACUGAGAGGUUGUAAUCUGCACUCGCUCCGUAAGUAUCCCAUUCCGUGGGAGCAUGACAAAUAGCACAGAGAAGUUGAGAAAAAAUAAAUUCUGAAAGAAAAGAAGUUUUGUGCGUUAGUACCUUUAAUGGCAGGCACUCUUUCCUCUCUUUGAACUCUACACCCUAUGUUUUUACUUUUUAAUGAGUUUUGAAAAUUAUGUAGUUGCUUAUCUUAACUCCUAAUUACUGAGUCUGUUAAACAAGUUUGUUUAUAUAAUAGUUCUUGAGCAUGUAACAUAUGCCAAGAACUGAGAAAAAGGGAAACUGACAGGAAACCUGCACUUGUCUAGGCUUUGAUAGGUGGUGGUGCACCUUGCUUUUGGCUUGCAAGGCAUGUUAAAAACAUUAAAAACUGCUGAUGACUUUGUAAAUUACUUGACUGAUCUCUCCGUCUCUCUCUCUCUCUCUUAACGAGGGUUUGGCUGGAAAUAGUUCUAUUACUAGAAACACUUAGAACAAGAAUACAGUUGCUGAGAAUUUACAUUUGAUUUAUUCAGCAAACGUCAUAUAGAAACAGCUUCCUGACUUUGCUGGCUUAACACCAUCUCCUCUCUUUGUUUUCGGCAAGGGCUAUAAUUUCUAAUACUUCUAAUAGUGUCUCAGGAAUCAGAACUAAUACAGAAAGAAUAUCAAAAGUAAAUGCAGAGCAGCAAAUAAUCGCUUAUAUGAGAGACAGUGUAGAAGGCUUGAUGGAAAACCUUAAACAGUAAGACCAUGGUAACAUAAUGAAAUAUUCAACUCAGUAAAAUGAUGCCAUCUCAUUGAUGGCUAAAGGACCAGGGUUUCUUCCAAAUUCAGGGCAAUCUUAGUAAAUGUGUUCAUUUCAUAUUUAAAACAAAGGACAUGAAUAGUAUUUUAUUCCAUGUCAAAUACAUAACAUAAUACUGGCUUUCUUUUCAUAUGAUGGGUUCGCUUAGUAGAUAGAACGUGAAUCUUUCAAGUGAGUUUUGAAUUUUCGAAUUGCAACUCAACACUAACUGUUUCAGUGAGUUAGGAUUCUUUUGAACUAAGAAUUAUGACACAUUUUAGGAGAUAAUUAGGAAAAACAAAUCCAAAUGGAACUAAAUAUCUAAUAAGAAGCAUAAAAGUUUACGUUAAGAGAUACGUUUUCUUAUUUUUCAUCACUCUGUGUGAUUGUGUUCUAUUCAAGGGUGGGCAAACUCUAGCCCAUGGGCCAAAUCCAGCCUGCCAUCUGUUUUUAUACAGCCUACAAGCCAAGAGUCAUUGUAUUUUAUGUGGUUAAUAAAAAGAAUAUUAUGUGACAUGUAAAAAAUUCAAACUUUAUUGUCUAUAGAUAAUCAUUUGUUUAUGUGUAGUCUAUGUCUGCUUUCUCAUACAAGACAGAGUUGAGUACCUGUGACAAAGUCCGUGUGGCCCACCAAGACUAAAAUAUUUGCUAUCUGAUCCUUUGCAGGAAAAUUUUGCUGACUCUGUGCAAACUCACCUACUGAUCGUUCCAUGAAAUAAAAUACCACAGAAAAUGAAUGCUUGCACAAUAGUCUGAGUUCAGGCAACUUAAGCAAAAUAACUGUUUUCAUUCCCUCUAGUACCUUAAUUUUAAUUAACCAGUAAUAAAAAUUUCCAAAGUAGUUAUUGCAACAGUAGAAAAGCAACUCUAAAAGUGAAAUAGACUUUUGCAGCUUACAAGAGAAAUAUAGCCACUUCUGCCCAAAAAAGUUUUUAGACUUUGUGCGCAGCUUCAAUCUAGACAUGCCAUGAUUCCAACAAUGACAGCAUAUCGUAAGAGAGGACAGAGUUGGCAAAAAUCUGACUUCAGCCCAGCUGCAUGAAUUUGCUCCAGUAUUCCAGCGGGGCCCUGGAUCAAUAGAUCUCUGGUGAGAACACAGAUUUAACUAGAUGUCUCCUCAGUAGAGAUCUGCUUUCUAUUCUCCAAGCUACUUGACUUCAUGUAAUUUAGAAGGUCAUUUUUUUUCCUGUUUCUUUCAGAGCUAGUACAACCAUCCAUUUUCAAGCAUGUACCAAGCCGUCACUGGAAUGUAAAAUAUUUAUUUUCAUGCAAAUGUGGGCAUAUAUCUGGAAACUUCUGGUUCCAACCUAAUGGGCCAGGCUUUGAAAAUAACUUUCUCAAUGUGUUGAAGAAUGUGUUCUCCAUUUUUAUGGCAUUGCUUUACUUACUAUUAUAGUGAUUGUUGUACACCAUUACACUUUAAAUAU